ACGGUUAUACCACGUUGAAAACAACGCUUCUUGUCCGAUCACCGAAGUUAAGCAACUUCAGGUCCAGUCAGUAUUUGGGAGGGUGACCACCUGGGGAACACCUAGCGCUAUAGGUU